GUUCAAAGGCGCUGCAGGGCGGGUCAAGGAAGGUGAGCGUCAUCUUGGGCGGCGCAGGGCGGUGAGGCAUACACGAACGUCACCCUUCCUUCUUGUCUUCCUCUUCCUUCCUCUUGUCUUCCUCUUCUUCACGGUUUGUUGUGUCUAAGCCAUUUUGCAGCGGUGGUUUGUUUGUUUGGAUUGUUUGUUUCAGCAGUAAUGAGGUCUUUGUUUGUUUCUUUUGUUUUGUUUUUAAUUUUAGUUUUCUUGUUGGUUAUUGAGUUCUGUCCAAGGCAUUGCAGUGGUGUGUUUUUUUCUUUCUCCUUCGUUUGUUUGUUUGUUUGUUGAUUUUGUGUCUAUUUUCAGUCUUUCAUAUUUCACAUUUUAAUGAUGGUUUGUAUUCGACUUCUCUUUAUUUUCCUUUUCUGCCCAGUUCUUUUUUUUUUUUAUCUUUUUUUUUAUCUCCAACUUCGCCCUUCGACUUUUAUUACGAUUUUCUAUUUCACUUAUUUUUAGGUAUAUGUUCUUGAUUCCACUUCUCUUUAUUUUCCUUUUCUUCCCAGUUCUUUAUUUAAUCUCUAGCAAUUCCACCUCUUCCACCUCUACUAAUGUCCUCCGUCCUCCAACUUUUACAAGGCUUUUCUAUUUCACUAAUUUUUAGGUUAUUCUUGAUUCCACUUUUCUUUACUUUUCUUUUCUUCCCAUUCUUUUUUUCUUAUCUUCAACAGUUCCACCUCCACCAAUGUCCUUCGUCCUUCAACACAACCACAACCAACG